GGGCCCGCACAAGCGGUGGAGUAUGUGGUUUAAUUCGAUGCAACGCGAAGAACCUUACCAGGGUUUGACAUCCUGCGAAUCUCUUGGAAACGAGAGAGUGCCUUCGGGAACGCAGUGACAGGUGGUGCAUGGCUGUCGUCAGCUCGUGUCGUGAGAUGUUGGGUUAAGUCCCGCAACGAGCGCAACCCACGUCGUUAGUUGCCAGCAUUUAGUUGGGCACUCUAGAGAGACCGCCGGUGAUAAACCGGAGGAAGGUGUGGAUGACGUCAAGUCAUCAUGCCCCUUACAUCCUGGGCUACACACGUACUACAAUGGCCGGUACAAAGGGCAGCGAAACCGCGAGGACAAGCAAAUCCCAUAAACCGUGGCUCAGUUCAGAUCGUAGGCUGCAACUCGCCUACGUGAAGGCGGAAUCGCUAG
rnacentral:rRNA from 1 species